CCCUUAGAUGUUCUGGGCCGCACACGCGCUACACUGAAGGAGGCAGCGUGUACUCCUGGAUCGAAAGAUUUGGGUAACCCGCGAAUCUCCUUCGUGCUAGGGAUUGAGGUUUGCAAUUAUCCUUCAUGAACGAGGAAUUCCUAGUAAACGCAAGUCAUCAGCUUGCAUUGAUUACGUCCCUGCCCUUUGUACACACCGCCCGUCGCACCUACCGAUUGAAUGGUCCGGUGAAAUCUCGGGACGGCGGCUUGGUCGCUUGCGUCCGACUGCUGAAACUUGAUUAAACCAUAUCAUUUAGAGGAAGGUGAAGUCGUANCA
rnacentral:rRNA from 1 species